AAAGCUGGCGGCGUGCCUAAUACAUGCAAGUCGAACGCUUACUUUUCCUCCCCGUAGUGCUUGCACUCAAUUGGAAAAGAGGAGUGGCGGACGGGUGAGCUAGACACUGUAGGCGUAACCUACCCAUCAGGAGGGGGUAUAACACUUGAGCAAACAGGUGCUAAUACCUGCAUAACAGUUUAUGCCGCAUGGCAUAAGAGUGAAAGGCGCUUUCGGGUGUCGAUGAUGGAUGGACCCGCGGUGCAUUAGCUAGUUGGUGAGGUAACGGCUCACCAAGGCCACGAUGCAUAGCCGACCUGAGAGGGUGAUCGGCCACACAUGGGACUGAGACACGGCCCAGACUCCUACUGGAGGCAGCAGUAGGGAAUCUUCGGCAAUGGACGAAAGUCUGACCGAGCAACGCCGCGUGAGUGAAGAAGGUUUUCGGAUCGUAGAACUCUGUUGUUAGAGAAGAACAAGGACGUUAGUAACUGAACGUCCCCUGACGGUAUCUAACCAGAAAGCCACGGCUAACUACGUGCCAGCAGCGCCGGGUAAUA
rnacentral:rRNA from 1 species